rnacentral:rRNA from 1 species
UACGUAGGGUGCAGGCGUUGAUCGGAAUUACUGGGCGUAAAGCGUGCGCAGGCGGUCUUUUGAGUCAGAUGUGAAAUCCCCGGGCUUAACCUGGGAACUGCGUUUGAAACUGGAAGGCUAGAGUGUGGCAGAGGGGGGUGGAAUUCCACGUGUAGCAGUGAAAUGCGUAGAUAUGUGGAGGAACACCGAUGGCGAAGGCAGCCCCCUGGGCUAACACUGACGCUCAUGCACGAAAGCGUGGGGAGCAAACAGG